rnacentral:rRNA from 1 species
AGGCUCUUCGCAACCAUCUUGGUGCAUUGCGAGCUAGGCGACGUGCGCGGUUUGUGGGAUAGGCACCUCGAGCCUAUGUCAGAUGACUAUCAUCGAACACGCACGUCGCCCAAGGAGGUGGAGCAGUUGGUGUUGCUUGACAUUCGGGCUAUGUUGCAGUCCAUGGGUAAAGACGUUGUUGAUUUCGCUCUUCCAAUCAUCGAUGAUGCGUUUGACCCAACCGAUGGUGAGUGUAGAGAGGUCAUAGAGGAAUCAACCAUUGAGUUUGACAUGGAUGACACUAAAUUGGCAUCUUCCCUAAACUUGGAGCAGAGGGCCGCAUACGAUGAGAUACUGGUGGUUGUUGAACGUGGUGAUGGGGGUGUAUUCUUUGUUGAUGGCCCUGGAGGUACAGGGAAGACCUUCUUAUACAGGGCGAUGCUUGCCAAGGUGAGGAGCGAGGGCAAGAUUGGUAUCGCUACCGCGACGUCGGGCAUCGCCGCUUCUAUAAUGCCUGGCGGCAGGACUGCCCACUCGAGGUUCAAGAUACCACUGAGUUGCGAUGAUGGUGCCUCCUACAGCUUCACCAAGCAAAGUGGGACUGCCAAGCUGCUUAGGAUGGACUCAUUGAUAAUAUGGGACGAGGCCAGCAUGACGAAGCGACAAGCAGUUGAGGCAUUGGACAAUAGCAUGCGUGACAUCAUGGGAAUACGCGACUGACCCUUUGGAGGAAAGACUGUUGUUUUUGGUGGGGACUUUAGGCAGGUGCUUCCGGUUGUCAGAAGGGGGUCGCGGGGCCAGAUUAUUGAUGCAACACUCCAAAAUUACUUGCUUAGGGUCGGCAAUGGUACUGAGGAUGUCGACGAUCAAGGCAACAUACUACUCCCUAAAGACAUUUGUCUGCCUUCUACAGGUGAGGUUGACGACUUGGAGAAGCUUAUUGACCACGUAUUUUUGAGUCUAGAUGACAACAUGUCUAAUUCGAAUUACAUGACAUGUUGCGCAAUCCUCUCCCCCACAAACAACAAUGUCGACAAGAUAAACAUCCGCAUGAUAGAGCGUUUUCAGGGAGAUGAAGUAAUAUACCAUAGUUUUGACAGUGCUGAGGAUGACCCGUAUGGCUACUACGCUCAAGAGUUUCUUAAUGGAUUGACUCCCAACGGUCUUCCUCCGCAUGCACUCAAACUAAAGCUAAACUACCCUGUCAUACUUCUAAGGAACAUUGACCCAGCUAACGGACUGUGUAACGGCACUAGGCUUGUUGUUAGAGGAUUUGAGAGGAACACCAUUGAUGCAGAAAUCGUGAUUGGAUAACACGCUGGCAGGAGGGUCUUCCUUCCUCGAAUACCUCUCUGCCCAUCUGAAAAUGACAUGUUUCUGUUCAAGUUUAAGAGGAAGCAAUUUCCUAUAAGACUUAGCUUUGCUAUGACCAUUAACAAGGCUCAAGGGUAGACAAUCCCUAUUGUUGGUGUCUACCUCCCCAAUCCUGUGUUCUCUCAUGGUCAACUCUAUGUUGCUUUGUCUCGAGCCACCGCGAAGAGAAACAUAAAGAUACUCAUUCAGAAGUAG